CAGCCGUAAACUAUGCGCGUUAGGUGUACUGGUGACCACGAGUCACCGGGGUGCCGAAGGGAAACCGUGAAACGUGCCGCCUGGGAAGUACGGUCGCAAGGCUGAAACUUAAAGGAAUUGGCGGGGGAGCACCGCAACGGGAGGAGCGUGCGGUUUAAUUGGAUUCAACACCGUAAAACUCACCAGGGAAGACAUAUGAUAGUCGGGCUGAAGACUCUACUUGAUGAUCUGAGAGGUGGUGCAUGGCGUCAGUGACU
rnacentral:rRNA from 1 species